rfam:Canis lupus familiaris chromosome X, whole genome shotgun sequence.
AAGAGGAACAACCACAGCGGUGGCGGCCACCUCUGGAGCCCUGGAUUUAGCUCCCACAGUAACUACAGAGCUCUCUGUCUGCAGGGGCCUGGAUGCUCCGGGCGGGG